ensembl:lncRNA
GAAUGUUCUGAUUCUGACAAAACUAAAGACUUGUCCCUUCCCUCCCAGAUCACCAGAAAUGGCCAAGAAGAUGGAGAAAAUGAAUUGUUCCGUCUUGGAGGAUCGUGACAACAGGCCAGCAACUGCAGAACCAGCCCCCCAACCUCCAGCCACUAGAAGAAAGGAGAGGCCUAACCUUUCUGCACCUCAAGAGGACACCUGGAGUCCAGAGUCCAUUCGUAUCCUUCUGGAUGUGUGGGCAUCCUCUGACAUCCAGAGUAUGAGGAUAGCUGGGAAGAAACUGCGAAACAUCUGCAAGGGGAUAGCCAAUCGUUUACAAAUGCAGGGUGUGCAGUGUAGCUGGGUGCAGUGUCGGAACAUGAUGCUAUCCUUGGAAGAUAUGUACUGGAGUAUCCAGGAGGCCAACCAGAACAAGCAGGGGGACCCCAUCAUUCACCCAUUUCAUGAAGGUUUGGAAAAAGUUCUGCCCUUCAUAUAUGCCUGUCCUGAAGGCCAUAAGGAUGAGCCCAAAGUUUAUGAACCUUCAGGGGCAUAUAGUUGGAAACCAACCCCAACAUGGACCGCUCCCUGGCGAAGCCAGGUGCCACCCCAGGAGAUGACUAGGAAUAGAACUUCCAUUUCCCACAUAGAAAACAGACAAACAGUCCUGAACACCCCCCAGGAGCCACCCCAAGCAAAGCCAAGCACUCCCAGACAUUUUAUCCAUAACCCAAGGCAUAUGACAGCUGGGAAUACCCCCCAACAUCCAUCAAUGACUCCUCCCUGCCUUCUGAUCCAAACUUCACAGGAGAACCUCCCCCAGAGUGUGCCCCAAGGGGUCCCAUGGAUCCCAGGCCCACCUAUCUUCAGACCAAACCACUUGACCCAGGAGAAUAUUUUCUACCAUCCAACACAAGUCUAUGUUCAGCACCUAGGAACACAGGACAGUCCCCAGGAGCAACCUCAGGAGAUCCCUCCCACUGCUGCCCCUUUGGCGAACAUGGACAACAAAGAGUCGUGUGAGAAUACCCCCCAAGAUCUAGCCCAGGGGAUCUCUUCCAUUGUUGUCUCUGGGAACAAGGAAGAGGCAGGUGAGGAAACCACUCAAGAUCAACCUGAGAAGAUCCCUUCCACUGUGACCUAUUUGUUUAACAUGGACCAUGAAGAGCAAGUUGGAAACACAUCUCAAGACCCAGCAGCAGAGAUCCCACAGACUGCACCAACUAAUUCUUCAGUUCUGAAUGAGGAAUCAUCUGAGAACACUCCCACUCAAGAACCUCCACAGAUCUCCUACUCUCAACCAUUUUAUAUUCCAAACCAACAGAUAUUUGAAUACUUCCCUCCAUAUCCGUCACCCCUUCCCCUUCCCAAUGGACCUGUACCAUUCUUCUACCCACCUUGGUAUUUCUUUCCCAACCACUAUGUCUGAACAUGAGAGGGAAUCUUCAAGAAAAGACAUCAAGUCUCUCCUCAAAUACACAAAGUAAUCCUUCACCUGCUUUGGAAAGACUUGCCUGUUAGAAGCUCUGAGUAGAUUUCUACACUCAUGCUUUUAUGUAUUCAUUUGACCUGUCUUUC